UACGUAGGGUGCAAGCGUUAAUCGGAAUUACUGGGCGUAAAGCGUGCGCAGGCGGUUUUGUAAGUCUGUCGUGAAAUCCCCGGGCUCAACCUGGGAAUUGCGAUGGAGACUGCAAGGCUAGAAUCUGGCAGAGGGGGGGUAGAAUUCCACGUGUAGCAGUGAAAUGCGUAGAGAUGUGGAGGAACACCGAUGGCGAAGGCAGCCCCCUGGGUCAAGAUUGACGCUCAUGC
rnacentral:rRNA from 1 species